rnacentral:rRNA from 1 species
ACUCCUACGGGAGGCAGCAGUAGGGAAUCUUCCACAAUGGGCGCAAGCCUGAUGGAGCAACACCCCGUGAGUGAAGAAGGGUUUCGGUCUCGUAAAGCUCUGUUGUUAAAGAAGAACACGUAUGAGAGUAACUGUUCAUACGUUGACGGUAUUUAACCAGAAAGUCACGGCUAACUACGUGCCAGCAGCCGCGGUAAUACGUAGGUGGCAAGCGUUAUCCGGAUUUAUUGGGGCGUAAAGAGAGUGCAGGCGGUUUUCUAAGUCUGAUGUGAAAGCCUUCGGCUUAACCGGAGAAGUGCAUCGGAAACUGGAUAACUUGAGUGCAGAGGAGGGUAGUGGAACUCCAUGUGUAGCGGUGGAAUGCGUAGAUAUAUGGAAGAACACCAGUGGCGAAGGCGGCUACCUGGUCUGCAACUGACGCUGAGACUCGAAAACAUGGGUAGCGAACAGGAUUAGAUACCCUGGUAGGAUAGCG